UAGCUAAUCCUGGUCGGACAUCAGGAGGUUAGUGCAAUGGCAUAAGCUAGCUUGACUGCGAGCGUGACGGCGCGAGCAGGUGCGAAAGCAGGUCAUAGUGAUCCGGUGGUUCUGAAUGGAAGGGCCAUCGCUCAACGGAUAAAAGGUACUCCGGGGAUAACAGGCUGAUACCGCCCAAGAGUUCAUAUCGACGGCGGUGUUUGGCACCUCGAUGUCGGCUCAUCACAUCCUGGGGCUGAAGUAGGUCCCAAGGGUAUGGCUGUUCGCCAUUUAAAGUGGUACGCGAGCUGGGUUUAGAACGUCGUGAGACAGUUCGGUCCCUAUCUGCCGUGGGCGCUGGAGAAUUGAGGGGGGCUGCUCCUAGUACGAGAGGACCGGAGUGGACGCAUCACUGGUGUUCGGGUUGUCAUGCCAAUGGCACUGCCCGGUAGCUAAAUGCGGAAGAGAUAAGUGCUGAAAGCAUCUAAGCACG
rnacentral:rRNA from 1 species